GGGUUGUGAGGUUAAGCGACUAAGCGUACACGGUGGAUGCCCUGGCAGUCAGAGGCGAUGAAGGACGUGCUAAUCUGCGAUAAGCGUCGGUAAGGUGAUAUGAACCGUUAUAACCGGCGAUUUCCGAAUGGGGAAACCCAGUGUGUUUCGACACACUAUCAUUAACUGAAUCCAUAGGUUAAUGAGGCGAACCGGGGGAACUGAAACAUCUAAGUACCCCGAGGAAAAGAAAUCAACCGAGAUUCCCCCAGUAGCGGCGAGCGAACGGGGAGGAGCCCAGAGCCUGAAUCAGUGUGUGUGUUAGUGGAAGCGUCUGGAAAGGCGCGCGAUACAGGGUGACAGCCCCGUACACAAAAAUGCACAUGCUGUGAGCUCGAUGAGUAGGGCGGGACACGUGGUAUCCUGUCUGAAUAUGGGGGGACCAUCCUCCAAGGCUAAAUACUCCUGACUGACCGAUAGUGAACCAGUACCGUGAGGGAAAGGCGAAAAGAACCCCGGCGAGGGGAGUGAAAAAGAACCUGAAACCGUGUACGUACAAGCAGUGGGAGCACAGAGCAAUCUGUGUGACUGCGUACCUUUUGUAUAAUGGGUCAGCGACUUAUAUUCUGUAGCAAGGUUAACCGAAUAGGGGAGCCGAAGGGAAACCGAGUCUUAACUGGGCGUUAAGUUGCAGGGUAUAGACCCGAAACCCGGUGAUCUAGCCAUGGGCAGGUUGAAGGUUGGGUAACACUAACUGGAGGACCGAACCGACUAAUGUUGAAAAAUUAGCGGAUGACUUGUGGCUGGGGGUGAAAGGCCAAUCAAACCGGGAGAUAGCUGGUUCUCCCCGAAAGCUAUUUAGGUAGCGCCUCGUGAAUUCAUCUCCGGGGGUAGAGCACUGUUUCGGCAAGGGGGUCAUCCCGACUUACCAACCCGAUGCAAACUGCGAAUACCGGAGAAUGUUAUCACGGGAGACACACGGCGGGUGCUAACGUCCGUCGUGAAGAGGGAAACAACCCAGACCGCCAGCUAAGGUCCCAAAGUCAUGGUUAAGUGGGAAACGAUGUGGGAAGGCCCAGACAGCCAGGAUGUUGGCUUAGAAGCAGCCAUCAUUUAAAGAAAGCGUAAUAGCUCACUGGUCGAGUCGGCCUGCGCGGAAGAUGUAACGGGGCUAAACCAUGCACCGAAGCUGCGGCAGCGACGCUUAUGCGUUGUUGGGUAGGGGAGCGUUCUGUAAGCCUGCGAAGGUGUGCUGUGAGGCAUGCUGGAGGUAUCAGAAGUGCGAAUGCUGACAUAAGUAACGAUAAAGCGGGUGAAAAGCCCGCUCGCCGGAAGACCAAGGGUUCCUGUCCAACGUUAAUCGGGGCAGGGUGAGUCGACCCCUAAGGCGAGGCCGAAAGGCGUAGUCGAUGGGAAACAGGUUAAUAUUCCUGUACUUGGUGUUACUGCGAAGGGGGGACGGAGAAGGCUAUGUUGGCCGGGCGACGGUUGUCCCGGUUUAAGCGUGUAGGCUGGUUUUCCAGGCAAAUCCGGAAAAUCAAGGCUGAGGCGUGAUGACGAGGCACUACGGUGCUGAAGCAACAAAUGCCCUGCUUCCAGGAAAAGCCUCUAAGCAUCAGGUAACAUCAAAUCGUACCCCAAACCGACACAGGUGGUCAGGUAGAGAAUACCAAGGCGCUUGAGAGAACUCGGGUGAAGGAACUAGGCAAAAUGGUGCCGUAACUUCGGGAGAAGGCACGCUGAUAUGUAGGUGAAGUCCCUCGCGGAUGGAGCUGAAAUCAGUCGAAGAUACCAGCUGGCUGCAACUGUUUAUUAAAAACACAGCACUGUGCAAACACGAAAGUGGACGUAUACGGUGUGACGCCUGCCCGGUGCCGGAAGGUUAAUUGAUGGGGUCAGCGCAAGCGAAGCUCUUGAUCGAAGCCCCGGUAAACGGCGGCCGUAACUAUAACGGUCCUAAGGUAGCGAAAUUCCUUGUCGGGUAAGUUCCGACCUGCACGAAUGGCGUAAUGAUGGCCAGGCUGUCUCCACCCGAGACUCAGUGAAAUUGAACUCGCUGUGAAGAUGCAGUGUACCCGCGGCAAGACGGAAAGACCCCGUGAACCUUUACUAUAGCUUGACACUGAACAUUGAGCCUUGAUGUGUAGGAUAGGUGGGAGGCUUUGAAGUGUGGACGCCAGUCUGCAUGGAGCCGACCUUGAAAUACCACCCUUUAAUGUUUGAUGUUCUAACGUUGACCCGUGAUCCGGGUUGCGGACAGUGUCUGGUGGGUAGUUUGACUGGGGCGGUCUCCUCCUAAAGAGUAACGGAGGAGCACGAAGGUUGGCUAAUCCUGGUCGGACAUCAGGAGGUUAGUGCAAUGGCAUAAGCCAGCUUGACUGCGAGCGUGACGGCGCGAGCAGGUGCGAAAGCAGGUCAUAGUGAUCCGGUGGUUCUGAAUGGAAGGGCCAUCGCUCAACGGAUAAAAGGUACUCCGGGGAUAACAGGCUGAUACCGCCCAAGAGUUCAUAUCGACGGCGGUGUUUGGCACCUCGAUGUCGGCUCAUCACAUCCUGGGGCUGAAGUAGGUCCCAAGGGUAUGGCUGUUCGCCAUUUAAAGUGGUACGCGAGCUGGGUUUAGAACGUCGUGAGACAGUUCGGUCCCUAUCUGCCGUGGGCGCUGGAGAACUGAGGGGGGCUGCUCCUAGUACGAGAGGACCGGAGUGGACGCAUCACUGGUGUUCGGGUUGUCAUGCCAAUGGCACUGCCCGGUAGCUAAAUGCGGAAGAGAUAAGUGCUGAAAGCAUCUAAGCACGAAACUUGCCCCGAGAUGAGUUCUCCCUGACUCCUUGAGAGUCCUGAAGGAACGUUGAAGACGACGACGUUGAUAGGCCGGGUGUGUAAGCGCAGCGAUGCGUUGAGCUAACCGGUACUAAUGAACCGUGAGGCUUAACCUUACAACGCCGAAGGUGUUU
rnacentral:rRNA from 1 species